CCAUUUGGAGACCUCCCAAUAUGUAGACAAUUACGAAGACUGUUAUCACCAUCUUCACAAUAAAAAUAAGUCAACUAUAUGAACAAAAAUAUUGAAUAUUAUUCAAUUAAAACGUCAUAUGGAUUAUACCCAAUGCAAUUAGCAGAACAUAUGCAAGUGAAGAGGAAACAUAAUUUCAGUAGUUAACAUGUGCAAGAUCUGUAAGACCAGAAUGUCAUUGAUAAAUUCACAAAAUUGCUAUGGCAUAACAAAAUGCAUAUGGGGUUCAGUACAAAUUUACUGCCCUUAAUAUAAGAACUGUGCAGCCAUAUUAACUGUGAUUAUCAAGAAAAAUACAUUACAUGAAUUCAGUAAAGUAGCAACACAUGAACUCUGUUUUGCGCUAAAGCCCAAAACCCAAAAUCUUAUUUCCAAUAGACCACAGAUUGCAAAAAGCCUCCUUAAGUCCCUUUAAUUCUCAUUUAACUGAAUAGUGUCUUAGAAAGUCAACAUGAUAUAUAUGGUUAAGUGGUCCAAAAUACAUAUCCAAAGUCCUAUUUCCAUAGCAAGUGAUCAAGUAGGCUAGGCUAAAUCAUUUGAACAAAAGAUAGAAUAGGCUAAACAUUUCAACUAAAUUUGAAGGAUAUCAAAAAUACGACUCAUUUGUUACCUGAAGUUGUAGUUUUCGGAUGAGAAUCAUCAAGAAAAGCCAUUGGAGCAAGUUGAUCAAUGUGU
rnacentral:misc_RNA from 1 species